AAACCACGUUUUCAGAGUGGGACUACCAUGCUAGUACGUAGCAAUACGUGGCAUACGGCUCAGUAACACGUAGUCAACAUGCCCAGAGGACGUGGAUAACCUCGGGAAACUGAGGAUAAACCGCGAUAAGUCAUGAUUCCUGGAAUGGUUCAUGGCUGAAAUCUAUAUGGCCUUUGGAUUGGACUGCGGCCGAUCAGGCUGUUGGUGAGGUAAUGGCCCACCAAACCUGUUACCGGUACGGGCUCUGAGAGGAGGAGCCCGGAGAUGGGCACUGAGACAAGGGCCCAGGCCCUAUGGGGCGCAGCAGGCGCGAAACCUCUGCAAUAGGCGAAAGCUUGACAGGGUUACUCUGAGUGAUUUCCGUUAAGGAGAUCUUUUGACACCUCUAAAAAUGGUGUAGAGUAAGGGGUGGGCAAGUCUGGUGUCAGCCGCCGCGGUAAUACCAGCACCCCGAAGUGGUCGGGACGAUUAUUGGGCCUAAAGCAUCCGUAGCCGGUCUAAAGUCUUCCGUUAAAUCCACCUGCUCAACAGAUGGGCUGCGGAAGAUACUAUAGGGCUAGGAGGCGGGAGAGGCAAGCCGGUACUCAGUGGGUAGGGGUUAAAUCCUCUGAUCAUUGAAGACCACCAGUUGGCCAAGGCGGCUUCCAAAACCGCUCGACGGUGAAGGAUUAAAGCUGGGGGAGCAAACCGGAUUAAAUACCCGGGUAGCCCACUGUAAACAAUUCAAAACUCCGGUGAUUGGGUUGGCCUUGUUCCAACCCCAUUGCCCANGGAAACCUUAAUUUUCCCCUNGGGANUUCGGUCCNAAANUUAAAUUAAAGAAUUGGCCGGGGGACCCNAAAGGGUAAACCUU
rnacentral:rRNA from 1 species